CUUUUUUAUAUGAUGAAUUCAUAGUUCAAAUGAAUUUACUUGAUUACACACUCAUUUGUCUUUCGCUCCUAACUGAUUUAAAAGUU